GCCCCAGGCCAACCUUAUUGGAGUAUUUGGAUAUUUUAUUAGCAUUACAACCACAUAAACAAGCAAACUCUUGUCAUAAUGUAUUUUUUCAAAAGUACCAUUGUUUUAUCCGAUGUCAGAAAUACAUCUUUUAGAGCUGACUGAAUUUGCUCUGUUUUCUACAUACAUGCACGCAAGCUCAUAUUCCAGCUGCUUAGUAGACAAAUGCAAAAUGGACUUCAACUUUAAUGUUAUGUGAGGAUAAGAUGUAAUAUACCAGCUUUAGGAUUUCUUUACCAGAAGGGUAUAGAAGGGCCUUUCUAUAAACCAAUGUUCCCAGCAUAUUUAAAUGAAUCCAGUUGAACUCAUCAGCUCAUUUUACAGUAAUUCAAGUAUGAAAAGGAUUAAUAUCAAAGCCUAUUUACAAGUAUAAUCAUGAAGAAGUCCUCCUUUAUAAUAAAGAAAGCACAGAGCAAAAAUAAAAAUCUUUUAGUUGAUUGCUUACCCCUUGGGGCAAUUUCCAAAACAAACAAUCAGUUCAAUAUUGGUUGCUUGGAUCUUUUCACAAAUGAUCAACAGCAAUCUUCUUAGCUAUAGGAAGUACCCUGGGCAGAUGCUUGAUCUGCCUGACCAAAAACUUCUGUGUGUCCAGAAACUUUUGCUUGUGAAGUGUUUGCCUGAUCAAAUGCAUCCAACCUCUUUUCAACCACCACACGAAUCAAGG